GAUGAACGCUGGCGGCGUGCUUAACACAUGCAAGUCGAACGGAAAGGCCCGGCUGUUGUUGUUUGCUCGAGUGGCGAACGGGUGAGAAACGCGUGAGUAAUCUUCCCUUGACUUUGUGAUAACUUCAGGAAACUGGGGCUAAUACCGGAUAGGAGCUCCUGCUGCACUGUGGGGGUUGGAAAUUUUCGGCGGUUGGGGAUGGACUCGCGGCUUAUCAGCUUCUUUGUGGGGUAGUGGCUUACCAAGGCUUUGACGGGUAGCCGGCCUGCGAGGGUGACCGGCCACAUUGGGACUGUGAUACGCACCAGACUAAUACGGGAGGCAGCAGUGGCAAAUCUUGAACAACGGGCCGAAGAAUGUUGCAGCAACGCCGCGUGCGGGAUGACCGCCUUCGGGUUGUAAACCGAUUUCGCCUGUCAUGAAGCCUGAGUGACGGUAACCGGUAAAGAAGCAGCGGCUAACUACGUG
rnacentral:rRNA from 1 species